AAAGAAAGCGUAAUAGCUCACUGGUCGAGUCGGCCUGCGCGGAAGAUGUAACGGGGCUAAACCAUGCACCGAAGCUGCGGCAGCGACGCUGAUGCGUUGUUGGGUAGGGGAGCGUUCUGUAAGCCUGUGAAGGUGGCCUGUGAGGGUUGCUGGAGGUAUCAGAAGUGCGAAUGCUGACAUAAGUAACGAUAAAGCGGGUGAAAAGCCCGCUCGCCGGAAGACCAA
rnacentral:rRNA from 1 species